rnacentral:rRNA from 1 species
AUUGAACGCUGGCGGCAUGCCUUACACAUGCAAGUCGAACGGUAACAGGCCGCAAGGUGCUGACGAGUGGCGAACGGGUGAGUAAUGCAUCGGAACGUGCCCAGUCGUGGGGGAUAACUGCUCGAAAGAGCAGCUAAUACCGCAUACGACCGGAGGGAGAAAGCGGGGGACCGUAAGGCCUCGCGCGAUUGGAGCGGCCGAUGUCAGAUUAGCUAGUUGGUGGGGUAAAGGCCUACCAAGGCAACGAUCUGUAGUUGGUCUGAGAGGACGACCAGCCACACUGGGACUGAGACACGGCCCAGACUCCUACGGGAGGCAGCAGUGGGGAAUUUUGGACAAUGGGCGCAAGCCUGAUCCAGCAAUGCCGCGUGCAGGAAGAAGGCCUUCGGGUUGUAAACUGCUUUUGUCAGGGAAGAAAUCUUCUGGGCUAAUACCCCGGGAGGAUGGCGGUACCUGAAGAAUAAGCACCGGCUAACUACGUGCCAGCAGCCGCCGCAGUAA